rnacentral:rRNA from 1 species
GACGAACGCUGGCGGCGUGCUUAACACAUGCAAGUCGAACGGGCCCGCUCUCUUUUUUGGGGGUGGGUUGAGUGGCGAACGGGUGAGUAUCACGUGAGUAACCUGCCCCCUGCUCCUGGAUAACUGCUUGAAAGGGCGGCUAAUACGGGGUGUGCCGGCUGGUCCGCAUGGGCCUGGUCGGGAUAGUUUCAUCUUCGGGUGUUUCGGUGGGGGAUGGGCUCGCGGCCUAUCAGCUUGUUGGUGGGGUGAUGGCCCACCAAGGCGGUGACGGGUAGCCGGCCUGAGAGGGUGGGCGGCCACACUGGGACUGAGACACGGCCCAGACUACUGCGGGAGGCAGCAGUGGGGGGUAUUGCACAAUGGGCGGAAGCCUGAUGCAGCGACGUCGCGUGAGGGAUGGAGGCCUUCGGGUUGUGAACCUCUUUCUCCGGUGGUGAAGGCCCUGUCCGUUGCGGCGGGGUUGACGGUAGCCGGGUAUGAAGCGCCGGCUAACUACGUG